rnacentral:misc_RNA from 1 species
CGAAAUGCGAUAAGUAAUGUGAAUUGCAGAAUUCAGUGAAUCAUCGAAUCUUUGAACGCACAUUGCGCCCGCCAGUAUUCUGGCGGGCAUGCCUGUUCGAGCGUCAUUUCAACCAUCAAGCCCCCGGGCUUGUGUUGGGGACCUGCGGCUGCCCGCAGGCCCUGAAAACCAGUGGCGGGCUCGCUAGUCACACCGAGCGUAGUAGCAAUCACCUCGCUCAGGGCGUGCUGCGGGUUCCGGCCGUUAAAGAGCCUUACAAACCCAAGGUUGACCUCGGAUCAGGUAGGAAGACCCGCUGAACUUAAGC